AACUUGAGGAAGAAGAAGAAGAAGACGAGGAAGAAACCUUGG
rnacentral:sRNA from 1 species